GCAAUACCACAAGCGCCUGAACUAUUUUCGACCGGAAUGAAAAUAGUUGACGAGGAAGAGGAUCAUCGAGAUUUCGGCGGAUGCCUCUCGGAUGACGUCACAUCCGUAAGCUUUUAUACAAACCAGGUAAGGUGACUUCCUGUACAAACAUAAAAGUAGUGACGAAU
rnacentral:ncRNA from 2 species